rnacentral:piRNA from 2 species
GGACACGGACAGGAUUGACAGAU